CCUGGGGACUAUUUCCAAUGGAAAGAGCAGCACCUUCAGUCUUUUGGCCAAGGCCAGAUCUGGAGUGUAAAAAUGUUGAAAGGCUUGACCAAAACAACACCAAAGAGGAAGAAGUCUGAAAGAGGAUAUAUCCAAUUUGAGUAUUUUUCUAUACAGCACCAUUUUGGAAUAGAGUUUUUUUAGACCCAUAUCUAAGAUGUCUGGAGAUUAUAUUGAAUAUUGCAUUGUGCUGUAUUUUGCUCUAUUGAAGACUAUUGUCUGGCCAUCUCAGGGUCGUCUAAACUAGGCCAGUCAAGGCUUCUCUGGCCACCCUCCCUGAGACGGUCAGACAGCUAGCAUUGUUUUUACAUACAAUUUGCUUUGUGUUUGAGUGUGAGAGAGCUCUGCAACCCCACCGUGGAAAGCCUCAGAGAGAGAGCCCUGCCUUCAAGCUUGACAGCUUCAAGAAAAGCCCUUCCCUGCUGCUGGAAACACCAUCGAGCCCUUCCCUGACGCCAGCUAACUCUGUGAGCUAGUUGAAACCCCUGAAAGGGACAUCAACAUCCAACAGACAAUGCAACAGUGAGCAUCAUGCACUCCAAAAUCCAAUCAUCAUCCAAGCCAAAUUGCAAGCUGCACAUCCAUGAUCUGAAACUGCAGUAAGCCUAUGUUUGGAGCUGAAUCUAUGUGCACGUGUGCAGUAUACAUCAGAGAGGAAGGGAGAAAAAGCCACUUUCCAUGAAGGAACCUGAGCUGUGAUAGAAACAGAGCUGCUAAUGGAGGAAAACAGCUUGUUAUCCAUCCUCUCACAUCAUACAAUACCAGAGAGCGUGUGCUGGAGGAAGCCAAUAGGAAGAACUAAUGGAAGCACAUACAUAGACACUCAAACCCAGAAACAAAGGGGAUCAGCAAAGCAGGAGAGAAGGAAGAAGAGAAAGAAAGGGGUAAUAAAGCAACUACAGAAGAGGAACGAAGUGGGAGAAGAAAAGUCCUGUGAACCUUGAACAACAGGAGCUUGAGGGUCGGACAAUAUUUUCACAUUAAAGAAGGCGGAGUCUCAGAGCCACACCUAUUACCUCAUUUGGAUUAACCAAUGGUAAUUCGAAGGUGUUUACCAGCCGGGACGAACUUCUCCUGAACGAAGAUCCGUCGGGUUC